GGUGACGAGCGGCGGACGGGUGAGUAAUGUCUGGGAAACUGCCUGAUGGAGGGGGAUAACUACUGGAAACGGUAGCUAAUACCGCAUAAUGUCGCAAGACCAAAGUGGGGGACCUUCGGGCCUCAUGCCAUCAGAUGUGCCCAGAUGGGAUUAGCUAGUAGGUGGGGUAACGGCUCACCUAGGCGACGAUCCCUAGCUGGUCUGAGAGGAUGACCAGCCACACUGGAACUGAGACACGGUCCAGACUCCUACGGGAGGCAGCAGUGGGGAAUAUUGCACAAUGGGCGCAAGCCUGAUGCAGCCAUGCCGCGUGUGUGAAGAAGGCCUUCGGGUUGUAAAGCACUUUCAGCGGGGAGGAAGGCGUUAAGGUUAAUAACCUUGGCGAUUGACGUUACCCGCAGAAGAAGCACCGGCUAACUCCGUGCCAGCAGCCGCGGUAAUACGGAGGGUGCAAGCGUUAAUCGGAAUUACUGGGCGUAAAGCGCACGCAGGCGGUCUGUCAAGUCGGAUGUGAAAUCCCCGGGCUCAACCUGGGAACUGCAUUCGAAACUGGCAGGCUAGAGUCUUGUAGAGGGGGGUAGAAUUCCAGGUGUAGCGGUGAAAUGCGUAGAGAUCUGGAGGAAUACCGGUGGCGAAGGCGGCCCCCUGGACAAAGACUGACGCUCAGGUGCGAAAGCGUGGGGAGCAAACAGGAUUAGAUACCCUGGUAGUCCACGCCGUAAACGAUGUCGAUUUGGAGGUUGUGCCCUUGAGGCGUGGCUUCCGGAGCUAACGCGUUAAAUCGACCGCCUGGGGAGUACGGCCGCAAGGUUAAAACUCAAAUGAAUUGACGGGGGCCCGCACAAGCGGUGGAGCAUGUGGUUUAAUUCGAUGCAACGCGAAGAACCUUACCUGGUCUUGACAUCCACAGAACUUUCCAGAGAUGGAUUGGUGCCUUCGGGAACUGUGAGACAGGUGCUGCAUGGCUGUCGUCAGCUCGUGUUGUGAAAUGUUGGGUUAAGUCCCGCAACGAGCGCAACCCUUAUCCUUUGUUGCCAGCGGUCCGGCCGGGAACUCAAAGGAGACUGCCAGUGAUAAACUGGAGGAAGGUGGGGAUGACGUCAAGUCAUCAUGGCCCUUACGACCAGGGCUACACACGUGCUACAAUGGCAUAUACAAAGAGAAGCGACCUCGCGAGAGCAAGCGGACCUCAUAAAGUAUGUCGUAGUCCGGAUUGGAGUCUGCAACUCGACUCCAUGAAGUCGGAAUCGCUAGUAAUCGUAGAUCAGAAUGCUACGGUGAAUACGUUCCCGGGCCUUGUACACACCGCCCGUCACACCAUGGGAGUGGGUUGCAAAAGAAGUAGGUAGCUUAACCUUCGGGAGGGCGCUUACCACUUUGUGAUUCAUGACUGGGGUGAAGUCGUAACAAGGUAACCGUAGGGGAACCUGCGGUUG
rnacentral:rRNA from 1 species